AUGCACGCUGGCGGCGUGCCUAAUACAUGCAAGUCGAGCGAACAGACGAGGAGCUUGCUCCUCUGACGUUAGCGGCGGACGGGUGAGUAACACGUGGAUAACCUACCUAUAAGACUGGGAUAACUUCGGGAAACCGGAGCUAAUACCGGAUAAUAUAUUGAACCGCAUGGUUCAAUAGUGAAAGACGGUUUUGCUGUCACUUAUAGAUUGAUCCGCGCCGCAUUAGCUAGUUGGUAAGGUAACGGCUUACCAAGGCAACGAUGCGUAGCCGACCUGAGAGGGUGAUCGGCCACACUGGAACUGAGACACGGUCCAGACUCCUACGGGAGGCAGCAGUAGGGAAUCUUCCGCAAUGGGCGAAAGCCUGACGGAGCAACGCCGCGUGAGUGAUGAAGGUCUUCGGAUCGUAAAACUCUGUUAUUAGGGAAGAACAAAUGUGUAAGUAACUAUGCACGUCUUGACGGUACCUAAUCAGAAAGCCACGGCUAACUACGUG
rnacentral:rRNA from 1 species